rnacentral:rRNA from 1 species
UAACCGGGAGGAAGGUGGGGAUGACGUCAAAUCAUCAUGCCCCUUAUGUCUAGGGCUACACACGUGCUACAAUGGUCGGUACAAUGAGAUGCAACCUCGCGAGCGUGAGCAAAACUAUAAAACCGAUCUCAGUUAGGAUUGUCCGCUGAAACUCGCCUACAUGAAGCUGGAGCUGCUAGUAAUCGCGAAUCUGAAUGUCGCGGUGAAUACGUUCCCGGGCCUUGUACACACCGCCCGUCA